CUUAGGCGUGUGACUGCGUACCUUUUGUAUAAUGGGUCAGCGACUUAUAUUCUGUAGCAAGGUUAACCGAAUAGGGGAGCCGAAGGGAAACCGAGUCUUAACUGGGCGUUAAGUUGCAGGGUAUAGACCCGAAACCCGGUGAUCUAGCCAUGGGCAGGUUGAAGGUUGGGUAACACUAACUGGAGGACCGAACCGACUAAUGUUGAAAAAUUAGCGGAUGACUUGUGGCUGGGGGUGAAAGGCCAAUCAAACCGGGAGAUAGCUGGUUCUCCCCGAAAGCUAUUUAGGUAGCGCCUCGUGAAUUCAUCUCCGGGGGUAGAGCACUGUUUCGGCAAGGGGGUCAUCCCGACUUACCAACCCGAUGCAAACUGCGAAUACCGGAGAAUGUUAUCACGGGAGACACACGGCGGGUGCUAACGUCCGUCGUGAAGAGGGAAACAACCCAGACCGCCAGCUAAGGUCCCAAAGUCAUGGUUAAGUGGGAAACGAUGUGGGAAGGCCCAGACAGCCAGGAUGUUGGCUUAGAAGCAGCCAUCAUUUAAAGAAAGCGUAAUAGCUCACUGGUCGAGUCGGCCUGCGCGGAAGAUGUAACGGGGCUAAACCAUGCACCGAAGCUGCGGCAGCGACGCUGAUGCGUUGUUGGGUAGGGGAGCGUUCUGUAAGCCUGUGAAGGUGUGCUGUGAGGCAUGCUGGAGGUAUCAGAAGUGCGAAUGCUGACAUAAGUAACGAUAAAGCGGGUGAAAAGCCCGCUCGCCGGAAGACCAAGGGUUCCUGUCCAACGUUAAUCGGGGCAGGGUGAGUCGACCCCUAAGGCGAGGCCGAAAGGCGUAGUCGAUGGGAAACAGGUUAAUAUUCCUGUACUUGGUGUUACUGCGAAGGGGGGACGGAGAAGGCUAUGUUGGCCGGGCGACGGUUGUCCCGGUUUAAGCGUGUAGGCUGGUUUUCCAGGCAAAUCCGGAAAAUCAAGGCUGAGGCGUGAUGACGAGGCACUACGGUGCUGAAGCAACAAAUGCCCUGCUUCCAGGAAAAGCCUCUAAGCAUCAGGUAACAUCAAAUCGUACCCCAAACCGACACAGGUGGUCAGGUAGAGAAUACCAAGGCGCUUGAGAGAACUCGGGUGAAGGAACUAGGCAAAAUGGUGCCGUAACUUCGGGAGAAGGCACGCUGAUAUGUAGGUGAAGUCCCUCGCGGAUGGAGCUGAAAUCAGUCGAAGAUACCAGCUGGCUGCAACUGUUUAUUAAAAACACAGCACUGUGCAA
rnacentral:rRNA from 11 species